CUGAAUGGUGUCACACAGAACUUAGGGUUCAAUUGAGGUGGUGCAGCUUCUUCUGCAAAGAUGCUCAAGCCUGAAAAGGCAAAGGCCCUGACAUGGGUCUUCAGAGUUUCGGAGUUAGCUUUACUCCCAUUGAGUGAAUGUUCCAGAAUUUUAAAGACAUGGUGAUGAUAUCCAUCCAGAACAUCCGAAUCAUUGGUGCGGUUGCGUAUUUGUGGAUCUUGUUGGUUCUCCAACUCUGAUGCCCCCUGGGAUUCAGUCCUCUGGGCUCAUCCUCCCUGACACUCUGUCUGGGUCUCCCUCACUCUGACAUGUGCAGACCAGUGACCCCCAGAUCCUCAUCUCCACCCCAGGUCCACACACAUCCUUCUCCAGCCCCAUCUCGCCAUCCUCUCAUGCACACAGCAUCCGGGACGUGCAAAUCCACCCUGGUCCCCACCCACCAGGCUCUCGGGCCCCACACCUGUCCACCUGAGGCUCCCUGCCCCACCCUGCCUGCACUGCCUUCCUCCCCAUCACCUGUCUGACUAACCUCAUCCUUUACAAACCCCUUUGAACAACAUUCUUGUGAAGUCUUCUCAACAACUCCAGCACCACAGGGUGCCUCCCCCACUGCACCGCCAGCCUCCUGAGAGUAAGGAUUGCAUGUGACCCUGGCAGACCCAGGGCCAAGCGCUCAUUAGCACUUACCGAGUGGAUGAAGGAAUGAUGUUGUGGAUAGUCAGGCACCGUGGGAAGACGGUGCAGACUCUGGUGCCGGGUAGGGAUGUGACACAGGGACACCCUUUUUGGAAAGUGUGUGUACUGCAGAGCCUUCUUCCCUGUAGAAGCACAGACACAGUGGCCACUUCAUAAGGCUGCAAGGGUUACAUAAGAUAAUGUUUUUGAAGAGCCAAGUGCGUGUCUGGCACGAAGAUGCUCAUGACCGCCUAUUUUUUUAAAGGUAUCGCGAAACAGCAGUGUAUGUUAUUUAAAUCCUUUCCAGAACCAA